AACCUGCCCGAAGACUGGGAUAACACCGGGGAACCGGUGCUAAUGCCGGAUAUCCCACCAGGCCGCAUGACCAGGUGAGGAAAUGGAUUCCGCUUCGGGAGGGGCUCGCGGGCUAUCAGCUUGUUGGUGGGGUAACGGCCUACCAAGGCGACGACGGCUAGCUGGUCUGAGAGGACGACCAGCCACACUGGGACUGAGACACGGCCCAG
rnacentral:rRNA from 1 species